CACGUAGGGGGCGAGCGUUGUCCGGAAUCAUUGGGCGUAAAGAGCUCGUAGGCGGCUCGGUAAGUCGGGUGUGAAACCCCCAGGCUCAACCUGGGGACGCCACCCGAUACUGCUGUGGCUAGAGUCCAGUAGGGGAGUGUGGAAUUCCCGGUGUAGCGGUGAAAUGCGCAGAUAUCAGGAGGAACACCGGUGGCGAAGGCGGGUCUCUGGGCCGAUACUGACGCUGAGGAGCGAAAGCGUGGGGAGCGAACAGG
rnacentral:rRNA from 1 species